rnacentral:rRNA from 1 species
UGAAACACGGACCAAGGAGUCUAACAUGUACGCAAGUCAUUGGGUGGAAAACCCAAAGGCGCAAUGAAAGUGAAGGUUGGCUCUGUCAACCGAGGUAGGAUCCGCUAAGCGGCGCACUACCGUCCCAUCGCAUCUGCUCGUCAGGGCGGUGGAGAUAGAGCGUACAUGUUAGGACCCGAAAGAUGGUGAACUAUGCCUGAGCAGAACGAAGCCAGAGGAAACUCUGGUGGAAGUUCGUAGCGGUUCUGACGUGCAAAUCGAUCGUCAGACUUGGGUAUAGGGGCGAAAGACUAAUCGAACCAUCUAGUAGCUGGUUCCCUCCGAAGUUUCCCUCAGGAUAGCUGGCAUUGGGAACGCAGUUUUACCCGGUAAAGCUAAUGAUUAGAGGUCUUGGGGACGAAACGACCUCAACCUAUUCUCAAACUUUAAAUGGGUAAGAAAGCGAGCUUUCUUGAUUGAAGCUCGUGAUUGAAUGCGAAUGCCAAGUGGGCCAUUUUUGGUAAGCA